GGUUGUAUAGUGUAGCGGUCAUCACAUCGGAUUCUGAGGAAGUUAAUCUUUCUGAGCAUUCCGGGAACCCCGGUUCGAUUCCGGGUACGACCU